rnacentral:rRNA from 1 species
CACGGGGGGAGCAAGCGUUGUUCGGAAUCACUGGGCGUAAAGGGCGUGUAGGCGGUCAGGUAAGUGGGAUGUGAAAUGCCCCCGGCUCACCCGGGGACCGGCAUCCCAUACUGCUUGGCUUGAGUACGGGAGAGGAGUGUGGGAAUUCCUGGUGUAGCGGUGAAAUGCGUAGAUAUCAGGAGGAACACCGGUGGCGAAGGCGCACAUCUGGCCCGAUACUGACGCUGAGGCGCGAAAGCUAGGGGAGCAAACGGG